rnacentral:tRNA from 1 species
GCUGAGAUGGGCCCUAAAAAGCCCCUCGAACA